GACGAACGCUGGCGGCGUGCUUAACACAUGCAAGUCGAACGGUAAGGCCCUUCGGGGUACACGAGUGGCGAACGGGUGAGUAACACGUGGGUGAUCUGCCCUGCACUUCGGGAUAAGCCUGGGAAACUGGGUCUAAUACCGGAUAGGACCCUGGGAUGCAUGUCCUGGGGUGGAAAGCUUUUGCGGUGUGGGAUGGGCCCGCGGCCUAUCAGCUUGUUGGUGGGGUGAUGGCCUACCAAGGCGACGACGGGUAGCCGGCCUGAGAGGGUGACCGGGCACGCUGGGACGAAGAUACGGGCCAGACUGCUACGGGAGGCAGUAGUGGGUGAUAUUGCACAAUGGGCGCAAGCCUGAUGCAGCGGCGCCGCGUGUGGGAUGACGGCCUGCGGGUUGUAAACCUCUUUCAGCACCGACGAAGCGCAAGUGACGGUAGGUGCAGAAGAAGGACCGGCCAACUACGUGCCAGCCGCCGCGGUAA
rnacentral:rRNA from 1 species